rnacentral:lncRNA from 1 species
CCCCCAUCAUUUCACGCAAAAUCUCUUUUCCCCAUCCCCCUUUCUGCUCUCUCCCUCUCCCUUCCAUCGCUUCCCACUGCCGCAUCCACCAUCGUUUGUGUCCGUCGUCCGUCGCAGUCAUCGUCGCUUCCCCUCCACCAUCAUCACUUCCCGUUGUUCGCGUUAGUCGGAGGUGACGAUUUCAAGAUUUUUUCUUUUUGGUGU